GAAAGAGGAGCUGCAGUCGGGUGUCAGAAAUGCUGAGUCGCAACGGGAGAGUGCCGCAUCCGAUGGAAAUUUACCCAGGAGCCAGCGACCUUCACACGCUGGGGACGAGGACUGAGGGCUUGUAGGGAAAUCCUGCCCUCGCUCACCCACCGCUGUACUACCUCCACGUCACCACCCAGGCAGAACACACCCUGGAAAAGCAGACCAGGAGACGAGCUCCAAGACAGAGUGAGCUGCCAGGACAGGCUCUGUGGCGUGAAACAGGGUACUGCUCUCCAUAGUGUGCAAGGAUGUCUGGCCCCACAGCACUGCCCAGUCCUCAGGAUUACUUGCCUCAGGGCAUAAUCAAUGGCUUUCCCUGCAAGUUCUCAGGCUCUCCGUGAAGGACAAUGAGAAGUGGGGGAGGAUAAGCAAUAAUGCCAGAGGACAAGGGAUACAAGACAGUAAGUAAGAAAAGUGCCCUGACUUCCAAAGACUUGCUCCUGAUUCACACUGCUACAGCCAAGAGGAGAAGGACUCCACAUUAUUGUUCCCAGGAAUGAAUCCUGAAGGUCUCUUGAUCUGUGAAGCAGCUACAGGGAAAUUCGUCGUAGAAACAGUCCCAUUACUGCCUUUUGUCCGCAUGACUCAUAUUGAUCCUGUUAACUGCGACUAACGUAUUUCCUAAGAUAUACUUUCUUAGCUUUAGGCCAAAACUCUCUGGUCCUGCCUCCUUCUUAUGCACAAGUUUUCCUCUAAUUCCUAUUGAUGCUACCCUGCCUGGCACAGAGUGAACCAUCUCCCUUCAUUCCCACAAGCAAGUGCCAUGCAGCCCUG